UUUGACAACCAGCUGAUUUGUCAGAUAAAAAAAAAAACAAUAUUCAAUUCACAUAUUUUAGAAUUAAUAAACACUCAAGGAAUUAAUAAUUUAUUUAACAAUCCCAACUUAAUUUUUGCAUUCGAUUAUAUAAUUGCACUUGUUUAUAGGAAAAAUGUAAACUUGGCGCAGUUCAAGACAUUCGUCGAGAUGGACUCCAACCUAUAGUGUACCAGGCAGUCAGAGAGACUCAAAAGAACGUGUAACUCAUCAAAAGAUGAGAUUAUAGUUUGGAAGUGUUUGGAUCACCGGCAUCGGAUGGCAUAAGUAGUUACCUAUUACAACGGCAAGUAGUAUUGAUUGCAUUAAAAUCAAGUCAUGCACAGAAACCAAUGGCUCUCAAAGCGCCCAUAUUAGGUUGAUCAAUUGAAGAGUGAAUGUGAGAAGAUUGCCACUUUGGCUUAAAGUAUCGGCAAAGGUGCCGCAACCCCAAUCGCUAUCCCGAAACUUAUUUCGUUCUCAUCCAAAGCAACAAAACUCCGCAAUCUUGUCAAAAAAAAGGACGACAAAUUGGUUGUCCGUCUUGGUGGCAAUGAAGAACUACAAAAAUUUGAACUCUCUGGUUUGCUGGUACUGAGAAUCUGAUACGUUCAGACGAAUUAAGCUGGAAAACAAAGACAAACAUGGAAUUUAAAUACGAACGCAUAAAUGUUGACAAAUAAUUCUUCAAAACACGCUCACAAAUCGGACUGAAUAACCAAGCAUAUUUCAUGCACAUAUGCAUGACAUAUUACAAUUAUCUAACAACACUUCCAACUAAUGGAUUUCAACCUCCUCCAAAUCAUUUAUAUAAGUAAUUCAAUUUCACUUAUGAAUAAAUGGCUAUUUAUCAAAUUGAAUAUACUAAACAACCUUCGAUGUAGACAAAUUUCGUCAUCAACAAUAACAUCCAUACACCUUAUUUACCAGACCGAAAAUUUCAACUCGAAGUAUGCUGUAAUUAUUAGAACUGCCAAAAAAAUAACAAACAAAAAAAUAUUGGAAGAUCAAACCAACUACAAUUAUGGAAUGGAUCAUUCACGACCGCGUCCGUCUGAUUAGAAAAAAAAUGGAUGUUCUGUACUCAAUCUGCUGGGGCUGCAUUUUCGUUUGUUCAAAAAAAUAAAA